UGGUCAUUACCAAGGCUUUUAGGACGCAGUUUUCUCGUUUGUCACGGACAUGACCACAACACAUUUUCCCACUGGGUUUUCUCUCUGCCACGGUACUAGCAUUCCGCCUACUGGGGACAUUU